AAAGGAUCAUUAAAAACAUGCAUCAUAUGCAGAGAAUAUCAAGUUUCACUCCUUUGUUAUUGCCAUAAAUAUUGAAACAUGUCUUUAUAUAUUGUUGUGUACUGUGUAGGAAGUUAUUGUGAUGAGUUUUGAAAGCUUUGGAAGUCUCGAUUGAAACAAGAAUAUAUUAUCGAAACCGCUCUUUAUCAUCUAAUUGUACAUAAUUUGGAACAACUGAGUGAAAAAGGAAUCGAUUUCGACGAAAAAGAAGGAGAAGGUGGCUCGAUUUCAGCAGAAGAUAACUAGAGAUCUGAGACUCUGGGAUCUGAUUGUAAUGGAGAAGAAAAAGAAGGAAAAGUACAAGGAUAAGAAGUAAAUACUGAGGAGGGAAGUUCAAACUCGGGAACCAAAUCUCCUAGUGCUAUGGUCGAAGAAGGAGUACUAGCCGAAGGAGUUGAAGCCGAAGAGUGUUCAAGGCGAAGUGAGGGCCGACCACAACGAUUCAAGUGAUUUCGAAGAGGAAACGAAAGAAAAUGAAGUAGAAGGAGGAGAAGAAAGAGAGUGAUCUCGGAACCAAAUAGGGAAGAAGAAAGAAGAGAGAACAUGUGAUCUCUGGAACCAUUUCGGAAAGAAAAAACGGCGGCAAUUAACAAGCGAUUUUUAUUUACAACCAUGAAAUAGUCUUACAAAAAAAAACAAAGGAGAAUAAGUAAAAUGAAGAUAACUAAUUUAACUUAGUAAAACUAGAUAAA